GACGAACGCUGGCGGCGUGCUUAACACAUGCAAGUCGAACGGAAAGGCCCUGCUUUUGUGGGGGGCUCGAGUGGCGAACGGGUGAGUAACACGUGAGUAACCUGCCCUUGACUUUGGGAUAACUUCAGGAAACUGGGGCUAAUACCGGAUAGGAGCUCCUGCUGCAUGGUGGGGGUUGGAAAGUUUCGGCGGUUGGGGAUGGACUCGCGGCUUAUCAGCUUGUUGGUGGGGUAGUGGCUUACCAAGGCUUUGACGGGUAGCCGGCCUGAGAGGGUGACCGGCCACAUUGGGACUGAGAUACGGCCCAGACUCCUACGGGAGGCAGCAGUGGGGAAUAUUGCACAAUGGGCGGAAGCCUGAUGCAGCAACGCCGCGUGCGGGAUGACGGCCUUCGGGUUGUAAACCGCUUUCGCCUGUGACGAAGCGUGAGUGACGGUGAUGGGUAAAGAAGCACCGGCUAACUACGUG
rnacentral:rRNA from 1 species